rnacentral:lncRNA from 1 species
CAGAAAUUCAACUAACACAAGCAUUCAAAACAGAUCGAGAGACAGACACACAGGCAGACAGGGCAGAGACCAGGGAAGAUCAAGGAAUAUGCAGAAGUAACUGUCCAAAAGAGCAGUCCAGAAAACUCCAGAACCUGUAGUCAUGCAGGACAUUGCUCUGUCACUUCUGAGUCGAGGCUGUGGACAGGUGGUCCAGUCACAGUUGGGCUGUCAAGAUGGACGCCUGGAAGUAUGCUUUGAACCUGAGGACUACUAUCUCUGGAAAUCCCAGCCAUCUCUGCUCCGUGUAUCUCAGCGUGGUCAUCUGCUGGACAGGGUGGAUCCAGUGCCUCCUAAGACCUACAGCACCAGACGUGGUCCUCUCUUCCUCUAUUACGAGGACAUGGCUACAUCUUACACAGUUAUGUCAUCAGGGCUGUCAUCAUGCCCCGCAGAAUCAGAGGUCAACAGGAAGAAACGGGCCUCCCAACAUUCCAGGCAGGAAGAGGAGAUUCAAUUGAAUACCUUGCGAGACCUGACGGGAGCCAUACUGGCCUACGGAAACAAGCAGCUCCGUGAAGAAGAAAACCAAGACGCAGCUCAACAUGUCCUCCCCCUCCCCUCCAAACACGAGCCCCGCUAUGCUCCCCUGAAGCCCUCCUACCCCAGGCAUCCCACCAAGGGGGGGACCCUAAUAAGGUCCUCCUGGAACCCCCAGGUUGGACUGGGACACAAGGAUCAGCUGACCUGCCAGUCCCAGUCAGGUGACCUAGCCCUCUGCUCCCCCCGAGAUCCCUGCUCUACCACUUCCAACAGACAAAGAUCAGGUCCUGUCCAUACAGACAUGGGGAAGAUCUCCUCAUCAGGUCCUGUCCAUACAGACAUGGGGAAGAUCUCCUCAUCAGGUCCUGUCCAUACAGAUAUGGGGAAGAUCGCCUCAUCAGGUCCUGUCCAUACAGGCGUGGGGAAGAUCUCCUCAGAGACCACAGAUGAAGGAGCAUCAGGUCUGGAGGGGCAGGAGGAUGGGCAACGAAGGGUGAGGUUUCAGGUCAUGGGUGAGAUACCCAGAGUUCAGAUGAGUCCCUACCCUAAGAAGGAGCCUCUUUGGCGGGUAGAGAGUACCAGACACCUCCCUGGAGGACAGGAUGCACAUCAGGAGAUGAGAAGGCAUGGAAACCACCCUGAAGAUAGGGGGGACUGUGAGAUGGCAAGUGAAGAGAAACCUUGGGCCAUACAGGUCGGAGAGAGGUCCUGCUCUCUGAAGACAGCAUCAGUGGAUUCCACCUGGAAAAGCAGCAAGCUAUCACACAUUAAUUACUAUGGAGGUCACCUGGGGGGGGGGCAGGUGGAACGGACACGAGGCGGAGCUGACCCACGCCUUAAGAAGCACCAGGGAGACCACGCCUUCGUAGACGCCAGCUUCUCCGGGCCUCAUCUCCCUCCCCUUGUCCUGGGCCCCCUGGUCAGCCUGCUGCAAGACAAACCAAGCCAGAAACCAGGCAGCCCAGGAAGGCCGGUGGAGAGCCUGCCACCAAUAAAAAGUGUUGAGGUCAGCUCACAGACUCCCACCCAGCCUCGGUUUGAGCGGCUGAUCCAAACCUAUCCUGCCCAUCCAGCCGAGAUCUACUUAGCAGCUGAGUUCCUGCCAGACAGGGGCCAUCCAGAAAGGGGCCAUCCAGACAGGGGCCAUCCAGACAGGGGCCAUCCAGACAAUGUCCAGCCCGAAAAGUCUCAUCCAGACAGGUCCCACCCAGGGGUCAAUCCAGACAGAAGCCAUCUAGAGAAGCCAGAACCUGGGAGGCUGCUGCUGUCAUUUCUGCUACCCCCUGGACAUACGGAGGAAGACAAGCAGAGUCCCUGUGCAAGAAGAGGAGCACGAGGAGGAUUAGCCAAAAGAGGAGUGGCAGAAAGAAGGGGAGGAGCAGGACAAGAAGAUCUACCUGAGGAAGGCAUCAAGCAGACAGGACUUGAGGAGGACAGAGACGGUCUCUUCAUACUAGAACCUGACCAAGGUAUUUUAUAUAACUAAAAUAAAACACUAAUAAUUAUUCAG